rnacentral:rRNA from 1 species
GACGAACGCUGGCGGCGUGCCUAAUACAUGCAAGUAGAACGCUGAAGAGAGGCGCUUGCUCUUCUUGGAUGAGUUGCGAACGGGUGAGUAACGCGUAGGUAACCUGCCUUGUAGCGGGGGAUAACUAUUGGAAACGAUAGCUAAUACCGCAUAACAAUGGAUGACCCAUGUCAUUUAUUUGAAAGGCGCAAAUGCUCCACUACAAGAUGGACCUGCGUUGUAUUAGCUAGUAGGUGAGGUAACGGCUCACCUAGGCGACGAUACAUAGCCGACCUGAGAGGGGAAUCGGCCACUCUGGGAGUGAGACACGGCCCAGACACCUACGGGAGGCAGCAGUAGGGAAGCGUCGGCAAUGGGGGCAACCCUGACCAGCAACGCCGCGUGAGUGAAGAAGGUUUUCGGAUCGUAAAGCUCUGUUGUAAGUCAAGAACGAGUGUGAGAGUGGAAAGUGCACACUGUGACGGUAGCGUACCAGAAAGGGACGGCUAACUACGU